rnacentral:rRNA from 1 species
GAACGAGAAAGUGGAGCAAUCCAUGAGUAAAGUGGCGACCGGGUGAGUAACACGUGACUAACCUACCCUUGAGUGGGGGAUAACCUCGGGAAGCCGGGGCUAAUACCGCAUAACAUCGCAAGAUCAAAGGAGCAAUCCGCUGAAGGAGGGGGUCGCGGCUGAUUAGCUAGUUGGUGAGGUAACGGCUCACCAAGGCGAAGAUCAGUAGCCGGCCUGAGAGGGCGCACGGCCACACUGGAACUGAAACACGGUCCAGACUCCUACGGGAGGCAGCAGUGGGGAAUUUUGCGCAAUGGGGGAAACCCUGACGCAGCAACGCCGCGUGGAGGAUGAAGUCCCUUGGGACGUAAACUCCUUUCGACCGGGACGAUUAUGACGGUACCGGUGGAAGAAGCCCCGGCUAACUUCGUG